rnacentral:ncRNA from 1 species
AUAAAAUUGGCCGCUUCGGUCAGGGCCAACUAUUGCCUGAAAAGGGUAA